rfam:Mortierella elongata AG-77 unplaced genomic scaffold K457scaffold_9, whole genome shotgun sequence.
GUCACUUUGUCCGAGUGGUUAAGGAGUAUGGCUGCUAACUGUAUGGGAUUUCCCGCGCAGGUUCGAACCCUGCAGGUGACG